UUGCAUUCUUAUAAACCCCCCGACUGCUGGCUUUAGCUUUUGGGACAAGCAAGAAUGCUAGAUCAACAUCUAGAAUAAUCCAAAGUUGAGGGUCUGUGUUCAGUGACCUUUAACUAUUUCACCUCUAGGACAUUU
ensembl:snoRNA